AGGGACUGUUGGCUAGAACUGCCCUUGCCGCCCGCCCUACUGCGGGCGCUCCCCUGUCUGUGGGGGGUGCUUGGCUGGGUGUGGAGAAGGAUCAAUCACAGCUGACUCCGCAGAGGUGACAGCCCCCGCCCCCUUAAAAACAAGAAAAGACCUAGAAGUGUGAAGCCAGACUGCAGCCCCACCCCCGGUGACAGGAGGAAACCGCGAGGCGCACAGCCUAAGGUUCAUGGUUCAUCUCCUUCCUGCUUGGAGUCAGAAUGUCCUCACUGCUGAGUUUCUCCAUUUUGUGGGAUUAUAUUAGUGGACAAAGGAGGAGGUCUCAGCCGGGAACACAGAAAGGAUAUAGAGAAAAUUAUUGUUCUGCCCCUACAGUUUUGGUGACCCAGAUGGGAUCUCCGGGACACCCUGCCUGCUCUACAAUUGGGAUCCCUGGAAGUGACAGAAUCUGGCAACGGAUGAAUAAGAAAGGUCACUUCCUGGCAGACCUCAGGUAUAUUGGGGACAUCAAGAAAAGAAUAAUUCAUCAAAGUCUAUGGAUAUUGCAGGCAAAGUUGAAACAAACCAGACAAGUUCUCUUUGUAUUCUUGAGAGACUAGGAAAGUCUAACCUGAGAUUCCUUAUUAAAAGUUCCAGCAAAGCAGACUUAAAAA